UCUUGAUCGUUUCAUCGAUCUUUAUUCUGAUUUCAAUUGUGAUUCACUUGUCCUCUUUUCAAUUUGAGAUUGCGUUUUGAUCGCGAAUUUUCGUUCUCACCUUUUCUCCCUCAUUUCUAGGGUUCCGUGAUUUGUUACUUCAUCAAUUGCAAUUUCCAGUUUCUGAAUCUCGCGAUUUCGUGAUUUGAUUUCUUAUGUUCUUGCGAUUGCAAUUCUGUUUCAUCGCAUUUCUUUACUGUUCGAUUUUGUUUUGCGUCUUUCCCCAAUUCUUAGGGUUUCAGAUUCGUUUUAUCUGUACCUUGAGAUUUUGGCGUUUUGGUCCUUAUCACUUAUGGAUAUUGCUUCCAAGGUGUUUGUUGAAGGUCCUCAUUGGGAAGAAUGAUGGGUACUGUGUUCGGUUUGACCGUGCAGGUUGUUUGUUUUGAGAGAUUUAUGGAGAAUUCUUGAUUCUGGAAGUUAUAGAUGGAGAUUCAUUUUUGAUUAUUUUUGAAGAUUUGGAGUUAUCAAUUUGUUAGUGACUUUCAAGUGCAAUCUACUUCUUUUUGCGAUCGUGCUCUAUUGGAUUUUGUAUUUCACUGUCGUAUACGUGAGGAUGGGAGUCAAUAUCUAUGUGGCUGAUCUUGUUCCUUGCCGCUUUGAAGCUCUAGUUGCUGGCAAUAUUGUCUCUGCAGUUCAGUCUUUGGUAAUCAUCUAUUCUACUGCCAUUGCUCUCUUUUCUCCAUAUAUUCUUUGAAGUUGUUUCGUUUUACAAGAAUUAGCUAUCUGGUUUGUGUUGCAAUUUUCUGCAUAUAUGUUCUUUGUAUGUGAGGGAUUAUAAUGCUCACAAGAUUCUUGGUUAUUGGCAUUGAUGAGUAUUUGGUAGUUGUUGAAGUUAUAAUGCCUUUGGAACUUUGAUCUUUGUUGGUUAUUGCUUAUGGUGAACCUGACGUGAACUUAGAUGCUGAAUACAUGGAUGGAUUUAUGUAGAAAUGUAGUUCUGGCUUAUUGCUAUUUCAACAUAUCUUGUUGGCAAGAUACAUUCUGUUUUAGUCAUCCAUCAUUGUGGACCUAUGGCACUUUUUCAAGAGAUUUUAUGGAAGUGCAUGGUGUAAUAUUAAAAGGCAUUGCAUCAGUAUCUCUCCUAUAUGAUUGAAGUUUAUGUAGCUUUGUUAAACAAGACAAUUUUCUCAUGGCUGUAAGUGCCUCCUUCACAAUUGAAUUGGAUUCUGCUUUGAGUAUAUGCAUUCUCUCUUUGUCCUGGAUCGUGUGUGAAGUUUGUUCAACAUAUGACCUCCUUCCAUUGUAGACUUUGGCCCUUCCUUGCACUUCUUUUCUUUUGGAUAUCAUCAUUGAUUUUGGAUAUCCUUGUUUUUCUUGUCUUGUGCUUCUGUUCAUGAUGGUUAAGCUAUGUUAAUAAGCUUCUGUCAUGAAUGGUUAAGCGUUGUGCUUCUGUCCAAGGAUGGUUAAGCGUCGUUUUUCUUCUUCUUCUUCUUGUGCUUCUGUCUUGAGUUAUUGAAAACUCUUGAUGGUUAAGCGUUAUGCCUUUUAUGGCUUUGUGAAUAUUGGCUUCUACCGGAUGGUGGUUAAGCGUUGCUUUGAUGCUCCUUCAUUCAAUUGGUUCAACCUUGAGUUGUGGUUGCUUCUUGUUGGAUAAGCACUUGCUUGAUGACUAUGUUUUUUUUUUAGCCGAUGUGUUUCCGGCAUCUUUCCUUGUAUUUUCUCAUUUCAAGUUGAAAGUGUUUUGAACACCUUCCAACUUGAGGGGGACUAUUAGAGAUACUAGUUUGUAGUAGUAUAUAUACUUGUAAUAACCCCAUUAGUGGGAUAACUUCCUCAUUUGUAAUAUUACAUUUUACUAUCAAUAGAACAAUUUCAUAACCUUUUCUCUCCUUCAUCCUGGAUAUCAUGUUUCCUAACACUUAUGUUACCUAACAUUUAUUGGAUAUAUCAAACUAUGUUUUUAUCACAUUCUUGCAGGUUAACAUUCGUCUGUCUAGCUUUUAACGGGUUUUGUGAUGGUAUCUCUUCCUUUUCGUGUUUGAUAGUUUUCGGUGCUCUCUUCUGCAUCAUCCAAAUAAUAGUGUUAGCUUAUGCUUUAGUGCAACCUUUGAGAAUCAGAGAAGGUGCUUCAGAAGAUGAUAUCAAGUCACUUCCUAUGUAUAGGUUUAGUCAGCCAAAUGUAAUGAUUAUGGUUGAUAAGAACAAGAAGCAACUUGAUGAAGCAAGAAUUGGUUCGCACAAUCAAAGCCAUAUCAGUGAACUAUCUCUUCAUCCAGAUGAUUCUGUAAGUACAAACUGGGUCUUCUCUUAUCUCUCAAUCCUUAAUUCUUUAGUUUUUCUUUAGUUUUAAUAUCAAUGUAUUGUAACUUGUAAUUAACUUUAUGUAUGAAUUGGAUCUUUUCUCAAAAAAAAAAAUGUAUGAAUUGGAUCUAUAUAUGAUUGGACUAUAUGGUUAAUGAAUUGAAAAAUUGUUGCAAUCCUCAAUGUUAUCUUUGAUUUGUUCUUAAAUAUGCUUGUGUUUAUAAUUGAUUUCAAUAAAAUCCUAUCUAGAAAAUAUUCUCCCCAUUCAUCUAAUGUAUUUUAAACUUAUUUUUUUUGGAAGAGGGUUCAAUGUGAAUUUGGUAUGACCUGAAAAUUGCUUCCCGUGAUUCUUUGAUGCUUGUCAUACAGUUGAGAUACAUUAUGAAACUACAGAAAGAGACUAACCACUUCUGAUUAUGCUGUAGGAGUGUUGUAUAUGCCUCUGUUCAUAUGUUGAUGGAACAGAACUGUAUCGCCUUCCAUGUACCCACCAUUUUCAUUGCGAAUGCAUCAGUCGUUGGCUUCGGACAAAAGCAACUUGCCCACUCUGCAAAUUUAAUAUCCGAAGAGGUGAUAUAUUGGUUUGAUAUUUCGUUGAUAAAGACUAGAUAGCACUGAGGUGAAGUAUCACUUAAAUGGGACAUGACAGUGGAGAACCAAAAUAUUUGCUAAUCUGCUGACUAGUGUUGGUACAUAAGUUGAAAACAAGAAGGAAAUGCCCCACCCUCUCAUCUUUGUCUUUGAAUUCUAGUUUCCUUAGAGGUAAUUUAACUUUUUAACCAGUCUUGAGGGUUUACACCAUAAGUUGUACUUAUAAGGCAAAUUUAAUUUAUUUUUUUAUGCAAACUUACAAGGCAAUUAAAGAAACAAUUUUAUGUACAGUAAUAAUUUUUUUGACCACUUUCUCCAUCUCCACUCACAAUUAAAUUCAAAACUAUGUAUGAAAGUUACACUUCUCAAAUUUUAUUUUAUUUUUUCAACUGCCAUUGGCCGACGACGCUUAACCGCCAUUUGGCUCUCCAACGACAGUUAAGUGUCGUUCGACACUUUUAAGAUCGGUUUCACCACUUUUUAAGCCGAUUCAAAAAGUAGGUUGAACGGCGGUUAGCUAUCGUUAGAGGUAAAUGGAUAAUUUCGGGGUGUUUUGGAUUUUUUUUGGAAAUGAGAAGAGUAAUUUUCACUUUAUACACACCUUAUACUCGGUAAAUAGUGGGAUCACAAUGGAAAAUGAAGGACAAUUGGGCUACCAAUGUGGAAAAGUUUACUUGAGCUUAUCAUAUUGGGAAAAAUUCAAAUUCUAUAGUUAAAAUCUGUUUUUUUUUUUUUAAAAGUUAAUUAACAUUGUGAAUACCAACUACCAAGUGUCUCUUUUGUUUUGUUAUUUUAUUAGACUAAAUUUUUUUAGAAUCAGCAAAUUUUAUUCACACAAGCGUGUGCAAGAAACACAACAAAAACUCGCGGGCAGCACAAGAACAAUACGACAGACACUGAAAUACCAGAAACCCCACAAACAGCAACAAAAAGCUCCCACAACGCAUGACAGAAAGCCUGUAAGAAGCAAAAACCAGAAAACAAAAACUGCUAACAGAACAGCAGACCUGAGGCUAACAUAUACAAAACUGCAGUACACCAAACCGAAGCUCAUAUAUAAAACUUAAUUAACUUCUUAUGUAUGUUGUUUUAGUUCACGCGUGAUGCAUGUGAACAAUGAACUUAGUUAAAGUAGCAGGUAGAUGAAAAAGGAAGGAUAUAAUGAUUAAAAAUAUUAAAAGGCAUUAGAGGCAUUUUUGUCAAAAAGGGUGUACUAGAAAAAGUCCUAUUAUACUUCUUUGUGGCUCUUAUAUUAUUAUUUCUCUCUCUUUUUACCAUUUCUUUUCACAUCCUAACAUAAAUGGAGAGUUUGAAAUCCUAACAUGCAAAACGCUUUUGGAAAUGAAAAUGAUGAUCGGUGCAGGUGCAUAUUGCGCGUUAACCCGUAACCCCCUUCUGCUGCUAUCCCGCUCCUUCAACAUUUUUCCUAAACUCACCCCCCUUCAAAAAAGGGUCUACUAGAAAAACUCCUCUUUUCACAUCCUAACAAAAAUGGAGAGUUUGAAAUCCUAACAUGCAAACCCCUUUUGGAAACGAAAAUGAUGAUCACCGGUGCAUAUUGUGCGCUAACCCGUAACCCCCUUCUGCUAUCCCGCUCCUUCAACAUUUUUCCUAAACCCACCCCCCUUCAAUUUCCAACUACACCCUCUCCUUCGUUUCCUUCAUUUAACCGCUUUCCAUCUCUCUUCCCUCAACUGUGCAUCCGUCAUUCUCGCCUCUCCACCCUCCCUCAUAAUGACUCCGGCGGAUUUGGCGGUGAUAGUGGCUCUGGAGGAUGGGAUCCCGGCGACAAUGAUUCCGAUGACGGAGGCGGAAAAUGGUCAUUCUUGUCAUGGUAAACAAAAAAUAUUGCUUUGACUUUGUCCAUAAAGUUAGUUAGGGUGUGUUGGAAGAGUACCUUAAGAUAUACUCCCUCCGUCCUAAAAUAUAAGCAAAAACAAAUUUUGAACAAAAUACAUUAACUUUUAUUGACCAAAUUUUGCUUACAUGUUAGGACGGAGGACGGAGGGAGUAAGCAUUUUUAUAAUUCAGAGAACUUGUACAAUUUGUAUUUUUGGUAGAUUGAAGAAAUGACAAUAGCCAUUAGAAACUCACACACGUAUAAGUGCAGGAGCCGGAGUUCGAACUCUGGAGUCUGGAAUGAGCACAGUCAGCUUAUAAUAGUUUAGCCUACUCUAUCUAUAGAAGAUCAAACCCGUUGUCUCCACGCUCACUACCAAAAUGGGGUGGUGGAGAGGAAACUUAGACAAGUUGUUGAACUCGGACUCGUGUUUAUGUUUGAGUGAUUGAUGUUAUGGUGUUAUAUGAGAUAAAUGAUGGUUUUCUAAUGUCUUUAUUUGUUUCAGCAUUGCGAAGAAGACCGAGCCUAUGAAUACACUGGUAUUAUCUGCUUUCUUGGUUUUUGGAUUUUCUUGUAUUGUUGUUGGUGGUCAAGCUCUUGUGGAAGUUCCUUUUCUCCUCUUCGGGUAAGAACCAUAGCUUUGAUGUGUUGUUUCCUUUUUCAUUUCUUUGGAGGGAAGCUGGGCGGAUAAUAAAUUUUUGCGUGAAUGCCAAGAGAGAGUAGUCAAAGUAGUAUAGAUUUGUGAUACUGAGUAAGUAACCAUCAACAUCUUAAUUUAAUUUAUUCAAAAAAAUAAAAACAUCUUAAUUUAAGACAACUGUUUUAAAAAAGAACCGAAUUUCAACUAUUCCACGGUUCCUUCACUAAGCAAAAUAACCAGGGAGUAGAUAAUUGUAGAUUAUUCUGUCUUUGUUUAAAUCGGAUAUAUAAAGGAGUGUGGAAAUGAAGAGAAAAAUGAAUGGUUACAUUGCACCCACAAUUAGUCAUUGUUGAAGUGUUAUUUUAAGAAGCUCCGAUUCAGGUCUGACCCUUCCCUGCACCUUGACCUGAUGGAAGCUUAAUAGCAUUGUGGUGUUCUUUUUAUUUAUUUAUUUUCAUUAAGAAUACUCUUAGCUUUUGUUCUGUCCUUCAAUUGUUUUACUGGAAUUGAGGUGCAGUUGUACAAGGUCCUUCCUUUUCUUCAGGAAAUAAUAACAAUUUCUCAAUUCUCACAAGAUGUCCAGAUAAUUUACAUUUGUCUUGCAGUUAAAGUAUUUUCAACCGUGAUUGAUGAACUCUGUUGAAUAGUUUGGCUUUUGUUUGGGACUAACAGGCUUCAAAUUGUUGAAAUAUUAUAACCUAAAACUUCAACUGAAAAUUCGGAGUUGCCUUUUCCAUGAAAUGGUGCAUAGGAAAAUGCUUGUAUUUCUUGGCCAAGAUAAAUUUUGAAGUAGGCUCUAGUGGAAGUGUGGUUACCAUGACUAUUUCAAACAAGACCUGUCCAACGCUUAAGCUUGGCCUGAUUUAAUUGGAAUUUGACCUGUUGUUGAACCUAGUUGUUCAGAGUCUGAAAGACUAAGGCUCUGUCAAAAGGCUGAGCUUAACCCAGAAUAGAUAAUAUAAUUUUUUUUGGUAUUUCACCGAUUCAUUACUUGUUUACUUCAUCCUCUAACAUCAUAUGCUCUUAUUUGACAUAAUUAUUCGCUCUUUUGUUACCUAAAAUUUAUUGGAUAUAUCAAACAAUGUUUUUAUCACAUUCUUGCAGGUUAACAAUGGUCUGUCUAUCCCUUAACGAGUUUUUUGAUGCUGUCUUUUCCUUUUGGAUAUAUUUGAUAGUUUUCGGUGCUCUCUUCUGCAUUGUCCAAAUAAUAGCGUUAGCUUAUGCUUUAACGCAACCUUUAAGAAUCAGAGAAGGUGCUUCAGAAGAUGAUAUCAAGUCACUUCCUAUGUAUAGGUUUUGUCAGCCAAAUGUAAUGAUUAUGGUUGAUAAGAACAAGACACAACUGGAAGCAAGAACUGGUUCCCACAAUCGUAGCCAUAUCAGUGAACUAUCUCUUCAUCCAGACGAUUCUGUAAGUACAAACUGGGUCUUUCUCUUAUCUCUCAAUCCUUAACUCUUUAGUUUUAAUAUCAUUGUGUUGUCACUUGUAAUUAACUGUAUGUAUGGAUUGGAUCUAUAUAUGAUUGGACUAGAUGGAUUGAAAAAUUGUUGCAAUCCUCAAUGUUAUCCUUGAUUUGUUCUUAAAUAUGCUUGUGUUUAUAAUUGAUUUCAAUAAAAUCCUACCUAGAAAGUAUUCUCCCCAUUCAUCUAUUGUAUUUUAAACUUAUUUAUUUUUUGGAAGAGGGUUGAAUGUGAAUUUGUUACCCCCUGAAAAUUGCUUCCCGUGAUUCUUUGAUGUUUGUCAUACAGUUGAGAUACAUUAUGAAACUACAGAAAGAGCGACUAACUACUUCUGAUUAUGCUGUAGGAGUGCUGUAUCUGCCUAUGUCCAUAUGUUGAUGGAACAGAACUAUAUCGCCUUCCAUGUACCCACCAUUUUCAUUGUGAAUGCAUCGGUCGUUGGCUUCGGACAAAAGCAACUUGUCCACUCUGCAAAUUUAAUAUUCGAAUAGGCGAUAUAAUGGUUUGAUAUUUUGUUGAUUAAGACUAAAUGGCACUGAGGUGAAGUAUCACUUGAAAGGGACAUGACAGUGGAGAACCAAAAUAUUUGGUAAUAUGCUGACUACUGUUGGUAUAUAAGUAGAAAAGAAAAAGGAAAUUCCCCACCCUUUCAUCUUUGGGUUUUUGUUUCCAUAGAGGUAAUUUAACUUUUUAACCGGUCGUAAGACCAUCCACAACAGAGCACCCAAAAGUGGGUGCUUAAAUGGGUCAUCUGGGUCCCUAUCAUUAAUUUUACCAUAUGCGGAGAUGAUUUGGCACAGACAGGUUCCUUUGAAGGUAUCCGUCUUUGCUUGGCGGCUUCUUCGUGAUCGGUUGCCUACCAAAUCGAAUCUGAUCUAUAGAGGUGUAAUUCCAACAGAAGCUGGUUUGUGUGUUUCUGGUUGCGGUGCCUUGGAAUCGGCACAACAUUUGUUUCUCUCUUGUUCGUAUUUUGCUUCACUUUGGUCGUUGGUUCGUGAUUGGAUUGGUUUUGUUGGAGUGGACACUAAUGUUUUGUCUGAUCACUUUGUUCAGUUUGUUCACUCAACAGGUGGCAAUAAGGCUUCUCAGUCUUUUCUCCAGCUUAUUUGGCUUCUUUGUGCCUGGGUUUUAUGGACUGAACGUAACAAUAUGUGUUUCAAUGAUUCUAUUACUCCUUUACCCAGGUUGCUUGACAAAGUUAAAUAUUUGUCUCUAGGUUGGUUGAAAGCUAGAAACGCUUCUUUUUUGUUUGGCACUUUUAGUUGGUGGUCAAACCCGUUACAAUGUUUGGGUAUUGGCUAACUUGUUUUUGUUGUUGUACUGAACUCUGUAGUAGUCUUUGUGGCACAUCUUGUGCUAUUGAGACUCUUGUUGUUAAUAUUAUUUCAUUUUUGAUUGUUCAAAUUUUUUUUUUACCAUAAUAGUUAAUAAGCACCAAUUUUCUCCAGUCCAGCACCUCAAAAGAAAUUAUUAAAUAGGUCCCACAAAUAAUUCUAUAUCAUUACAUUUUAACAAAAUUUAUAUAGUUUAUUAAGAUUUAUUAAAUAGGACUUGUGAAAAAUGAAGAGAGAGAGGGUGCUUCCAUAGCCACCAUUCUCCAUAGGCACCCAAAUAUUUUACUCCAUAAUGGGAGUGCCUAUUUAAUGUGGUGCUAAAUACGUUAAACACUAUUUUUGUAUUUUAGACAACUUGUACCUGGGACAAAAAGUUGUGUUGUGGUUUGGCGAGGGACAAAAAUUGCAGUUUUUGUCCUGUCCCUUGCCUCCAGCUUGUCAUGUCCCUGAAACUGUUUUACAAUUCGAACACUGGACAACUGAAGUUGUUCUGUCCUGUCCUUUAUUUUUUAUUAAAUCAAACGCACCCUAAUAUUUUUUUGAGCACUUUCUCCAUCUCCACUCACAAUUAAAUUUAAGACUUUCUAUGAAAGUUACUCUUUUCAAAUUUCUCUUUUUUUUUUUCAACUGCAUUGGCCGAGCGACACUUAACUGUCGUUUGGCUCUCCAACGACAAUUAAAUGCGGUUUGACACUUUUAAGAUCGGUUCCACCACGUUUUAAAUCGAUUUAACCGAUUUAAAAAGUGUCAUGAACGGUAAGUUGGCUGUCGUUGGAGUUGAAUGGAUAGUUUCAGGUUGUCUUGGACAAAUUUUGGAAAUGAGGGGUAAUUUCCACUGUACAUGCACCUUAUUUAUACUCGGCAAAUUGGGAUCACAAUGGGAAGGACAAUUGGGCUAGCGAUGUAUUUGGAAAAGUUUACUUGAGCUUAUCAUAUUGGGACAAAUUCAAAUUCUAUAGUUAAAAUCUUUUUUUUUUUAAAGUUAAUAUUGUGAAUACCAACUAACUAGCAUGUGUCUCUUUUGUUUUGUUAUUUUAUGGACUAAUUUGACUAAUGAAAAUCACAUUUUUAGUAACAAAAACAUACGAUUGGAAAGAACAAAAGACUAACAAAAACUUACCAAUUUUGUUUAUUUUGUUUUGUUUUACUAAUAAGUAUGCAUGUUUUAUAUUUAGCUAUCCAUAUAAUAUAUGAUCCUUUCCGUCAUUAUUGUAAGUAAAUAUUCUUUUCACAAAUCAAUUGAAUUACUGAUGUAUUUGAUCUAUAUUAUAAAUUAUAUAAAUCAAUUAAUCAAUAAAUUUGAAAAACGAAUCUCAUUAAAAGAAAAGAAUUUGAAAAACGAAUCUUUGUUUAUGAUAGUGAACAGUGAGAAUAUUUAACUACUCUAAAUUAAAUUUAUUUGUACAAAAAUUAGUAAAACCAUGAAAGUCAAAAGAUUAUUACAUAAUUGAUAAAUUGUUUUUGGACUUAUCUUGACCCUUUGAGUCUUUUCAGCAGUUACAAAAAGAGUUUUGUUAGCAAUAGAUUUCUUGCAUUUUAAUUAAUGUGAGUAAAAGUUUUGGGAUUUUUUUUGCUCAUAAGCUAAUUUAAUAUAUUAAUCAUAAAAAUAUAUUUUUUAUCUUUGUAUAUUUUGUCCUCUCGUAAUUCUAGCUUCACUGCCGUUAGGGUUGGGAAUAGGCCAGGCCGGCCUACAGGGGCCUAUGGCCUGGCCUGUUUAAGCCUGGCCUGGCCUGGCCUGUUUAUUAAAAAGGCUAGGCUUAGGCUUUUUAAAAAGCCUAUUUAAGUAAAUAGGCCAGGCUUAGGCUAUAAAAAAAGCCUAUGAAUCCUAAUAGGCCGGCCUGUUUAUGCAUGUUAGGCUUCAUAGUGGACUUUUUAAAUAGGCUUUAAAGCUUUAUAGUGAAAUAUGUUUUUAAGGCCUUAUAGUGAUAGACAAAUCUUACACUGGAAUAGACUUUGAAGCCUAUUAAGCCUAUUUAAAAGUAGAUAAAAUGGAAUGUUUAGUGACUUUAAUAGUAAGUAGGCUUUCAGGUCAGGCCAGGCUUUUAAAUAGGUCAGGCCAGGCCAAAAUAAUAGGCCUAUGAAAGGCCAUAGGCCAGGCUCAGGCCUGCAAAUUUUUUCGUAGGUCAGGCUCAGGCCUAUCAAAGCCUGGCCUGACCUGGCCUAUUCCCAACCCUAACUGCCGUACUCAAAGAUCAAAAUAACUAACUAAAGAGACACUUAAAAAAUAUUUUUAAUUUUCAUAUAAUUUAUCAAAGAUUAUAGUGACACUAAAACUGUUGUUUAUCACAUUUAUAUUAAAUAAACAACAUAUAUGCAGCAAGUUGAUACCAUUUUUUGUAUGAAAUGCAGCAUGUUGUUACCAUUGAAAGGCCUGCAACACGGCCAAUGCAUUUUUAAAAGAGAAAACUCGUAUUUUCUGGUGUAGAUUAGUUUAAGCACAAGUGCUAAGUUUAAUCUCUAAAAACUAAUAUUCUCUUUCCCUCAAAAAAAAAACUAACAUUUAACGAUAAAAAAUAAUUAUAUUUAAUUUCUUUUUUAAAAAUUCAGAUACCAAAAUUUAGUUUUCAGUGUGAAAACCUAAUACUUACGCACACUCAACUUUAAGUUUUAAGUUAAGUGUAAACAAAAACACUUGAGUUAGAGAGAAAUCCUCAAAAGAGUUAAAUGAUGACGAGAACAUAAACCUCUUAAAAAACACACAUAACACAAAGGUUGUAAAACCCAUUUAGAACCGAGAAUGAUGUCUGGAACUGGAACAUGUUGUGCACUAACCCAAAACCCCCUUCUGUUAUCCCGCUCCGUCACCUUUUCUCCUCAACCGCCCACCCCCCUUCAAUUUCCAACAACACCCCCCUUUAACCGCUUUCCACCUCCCUUUGCUCAACUGCGCUUCCGUCAUUCUCGUCUCUCUGCCCUCUCCGGUGAUGGUUCCGGUGGUACUGGUGGUGACGGUGGCUCUGGAGGAUGGAAUUCCGGUGACAAUGAAGCUGAUGAUGGAGGAGGAACAUGGUCAUUCUUGUCAUGGUAAACACAUUUUUUACUUAAUAAUUUAGUUUUUUUUUUUUUUUUUUUUGGUUAGGGUGUAUUUGGUAGAGUAUCUUAAUCUUAUGACAUGCACUUGUAUAAAGAGAACUUAUGGCAUGUUUGAAUUUAUCUACUGACAUAAGCACUCUUUCAGAGAACUUCUGAAAACAAAUUAUCACAUGUUUAUAAGAUGUUUUUAAAUUGUUUUCUUAAGCUCUUCGAGCGCUUAUCAUAAUAAGUGUUAAUGCUACAAGCUGCAAAUUAAGCUUUGUAUCUAAACAGGACCUUAUUAAAAUAGCUUAUGAAAUCUUCAGCUUAUUUAAAUAAGCGCAUUUGAUUAUUUUAUGCAAAUAACUAAAAAUUUAUAUGUAAGCAGUUUAACCACAUUGGUUAUU
rnacentral:lncRNA from 1 species